rnacentral:ncRNA from 1 species
UGUCUAAUUAAAACAAAGCAUUGCGAUGGCCCCCACGGGUGUUGACGCAAUGUGAUUUCUGCCCAGUGCUCUGAAUGUCAACGUGAAGAAAUUCAAAAAAGCGCGGGUAAACGGCGGAAGUAACUAUGACUCUCCAGCUGGCACUAGUAUCCGAGA